rnacentral:rRNA from 2 species
UAAAGCGCGCGCAGGCGGUCUUUUAAGUCUGAUGUGAAAGCCCACGGCUCAACCGUGGAGGGUCAUUGGAAACUGGAGGACUUGAGUGCAGAAGAGGAGAGUGGAAUUCCACGUGUAGCGGUGAAAUGCGUAGAUAUGUGGAGGAACACCAGUGGCGAAGGCGGCUCUCUGGUCUGUAACUGACGCUGAGGCGCGAAAGCGUGGGGAGCAAACAGGAUUAGAUACCCUGGUAGUCCACGCCGUAAACGAUGAGUGCUAGGUGUUGGGGGGUUCCACCCUCAGUGCUGAAGUUAACACAUUAAGCACUCCGCCUGGGGAGUACGACCGCAAGGUUGAAACUCAAAGGAAUUGACGGGGGCCCGCACAAGCAGUGGAGCAUGUGGUUUAAUUCGAAGCAACGCGAAGAACCUUACCAGGUCUUGACAUCCUCUGACAAUCCUGGAGACAGGACGUUCCCCUUCGGGGGACAGAGUGACAGGUGGUGCAUGGUUGUCGUCAGCUCGUGUCGUGAGAUGUUGGGUUAAGUCCCGCAACGAGCGCAACCCUUGAUCUUAGUUGCCAGCAUUUAGUUGGGCACUCUAAGGUGACUGCCGGUGACAAACCGGAGGAAGGUGGGGAUGACGUCAAAUCAUCAUGCCCCUUAUGACCUGGGCUACACACGUGCUACAAUGGACGGUACAAAGGGCAGCAACACCCCGAGGUGAAGCAAAUCCCAUAAAGCCGUUCUCUGUUCCGAUUUUCAGUUAGUCC